GACGAACGCUGGCGGCGUGCUUAACACAUGCAAGUCGAACGGAAAGGCCCUGCUUGCAGGGUACUCGAGUGGCGAACGGGUGAGUAACACGUGGGUGAUCUGCCCUGCACUUCGGGAUAAGCCUGGGAAACUGGGUCUAAUACCGGAUAGGAGCCAUUUUUAGUGUGAUGGUUGGAAAGUUUUUUCGGUGUAGGAUGAGCUCGCGGCUAUCAGCUUGUUGGUGGGGUAAUGGCCUACCAAGGCGGCGACGGGUAGCCGGCCUGAGAGGGUGGACGGCCACAUUGGGACUGAGAUACGGCCCAGACUCCUACGGGAGGCAGCAGUGGGGAAUAUUGCACAAUGGGCGCAAGCCUGAUGCAGCGACGCCGCGUGGGGGAUGACGGCCUUCGGGUUGUAAACUCCUUUCGCUAGGGACGAAGCUUUUUGUGACGGUACCUAGAUAAGAAGCACCGGCUAACUACGUG
rnacentral:rRNA from 1 species